UUUUUUACCACAAUAAUGUUUUUGCAUUAGCGAAAAAAAAAGAAAAGAUUCUUACCGAAAAGGUUUUUGUGUUGCAUUACGUUUUUCUUUGGUUACAACAAGUUGUUGAUAGUCAUAUUGCAAAGAAUUAUUAAAGGUAGUUUCACUGGCACUCAAAUCAAUCGACGUCUCCACAACGUUUUUAUUCUACAAAUCCUUUUCCAUGUUUUCUUUUUUAAAAAAAAAGACACACUUGUUUUGCCGUUGUUUUCACUCGGUUUAACUCUUUUAUUUUUGAAAAAUUCGGUUUUUGUGUCAAAGGUUUUAACCAACGCGACGCAACAAAAGACUUGUUUUGUCGAAAUACCUUUUGAAUCAUAAAGUUCAUCGCAGCCUUUGCUUCUUCCAAUACAGGGCAAAAUCUCAAGGUCAUCGAAACCGCUAGGUGUUAAGAGUCUAACAAAAGUAGCUUUCUCUUAAAACACGAUUUGUUUCAAGUUCUUUGUAUUUCUAAAGACCAAUAAAUUAGAAGUGAUUCUCGUUACAAGAAGCACAACAAAGUUGUAAUUAUUACCGAAGACAAUUGUAAAAAAUGAUCAAAAAAAUAAGCAACAAUUCCUUUAUAAUAAUCUUGUUCUGUUUCUGACGUAUUAGAAUACUAUAGAUCAACCCAUUUUUUAUUGUAAAUGAAAUGAUAAUAUUACGUUUGUUUAUACCUGAGAAUUCUUUCUGCGUGGAUUCUUGUUCAAACUUUUUAAUGUUAUUAUGAACUUGUUGAAUUUGUAGUCUAAAUAGUUUUAUAUCAGUUAUUCAUUGUUUCGUUAAGAUUUACCCUAAAGAAGCAGCUAAAAUGGACACCUUUGUUUUUGUCUGUCGUUUUCCUGAAAAAUUUACAAGACAGUCAAAAGGUCUUUUCAAUGUAUCAAAACUGUUUAAUUGAUUAUCAUAAACAAGUAAUUUUGUCUU